AAAAACAUCACCUCUAGCAUUACUAGUAUUAGAGGCACUGCCUGCCCAGUGACAACCGUUAAACGGCCGCGGUAUCCUGACCGUGCAAAGGUAGCAUAAUCACUUGUUCUCUAAAUAAGGACUUGUAUGAAUGGCCACACGAGGGUUUUACUGUCUCUUACUUCUAAUCAGUGAAAUUGACCUUCCCGUGAAGAGGCGGGAAUAUAUUAAUAAGACGAGAAGACCCUAUGGAGCUUUAACUACUUAACCCAAAGAAACAAAAUUUAUUUCUAAGGAAACAAUAAUAUUCUUUAUGGGUUAACAGCUUUGGUUGGGGUGACCUCGGAGAAUAAAAAAUCCUCCGAGCGAUUUUAAAGACUAGACCCACAAGUCAAAUCGCACAAUCGCUUAUUGAUCCAAAAAAUUGAUCAACGGAACAAGUUACCCUAGGGAUAACAGCGCAAUCCUAUUCAAGAGUCCAUAUCGACAAUAGGGUUUACGACCUCGAUGUUGGAUCAGGACAUCCUGAUGGUGCAACCGCUAUCAAAGGUUCGUUUGUUCAACGAUUAAAGUCCUACGUGAUCUGAGU
rnacentral:rRNA from 1 species